UUGGCCGACUAAACAUUUAGUCGGCGAAGAGAAAGUUUUGGCGUCCAGUUCAAAAUUUCACGAAAAUGUUGGCGGGGCUUGGCUAAUCUUGGACUACUAUUUUUGUCGGCAAUUGGUUUCCUUUAGCAAAACGACAGCGUCUUGCAACACACCUAAUGGAGUAAUACGCUUCCCCUCUCCUCUAAAAGAGUUAUACGCUUCCCCUCCCCUUUUCUCUUCCACCACAUCCCUCCCUCUCUCUUCCUCUUCCUCCCACCACCGAAGCUACUGUUGUCGGACAAAGCACCACGGACGCCACAACUAAAGCCAGUCCUUUUCUCCCCGACUCCAAUCUCUCACUCUUCGUAAGUUGAACCUUCAGUAAAGUGGCAGCGUGUGCGAGGGCCCACUAGUUGAAAGAGGCCAUAGUACAAGCUGUUUAGAAACUAAGAGUGUAAGUGCAUAAAUUGAAGUUGUUAGGACUUCCAAAAAUAGCGUGACAAGGAGCAAAGACAACGGGAAGAGCAGCAAAGGCAAAGAGAUGAGGAGCUAAGGCUAAGAGAUGAGCAAAGGCAACGUGAAUUUGAUGAACUCAAAGCCAUGAUGAUGAGGCAAAUGCAUGGAUGAGACAAUGUGUGAACGAGGUGAUGGUGGAAAAUAUUCGAUAUUGGAGUAUCUAGCAUCUUGUCAAGGACUAUAUAUGAAGAAGUUGGAUUUUUGUCGUGGAUUCUACUGUAAUCUAAUUUUCUCGUUGUUGAACUUUCCUAUUAUUUUGCACCCUAGGGCUUGGUUAUGAUAUGUUUGAUGCUACGUACACUUUUUGUGGUACGAUUUUUUGUUAUUUUGUACCCUGCAAAUUCGGAUACCGUUUGCUAAGUAUUUGUUGAACACCCUUUAUUUAUGGAAGUUAUGAAUGAAUUGUUCUUGAAUUUCAAUACUUGAUUAUAGUAGAUUGGUGAAUAAAUGUUGCUCAAUUUAAUUUACUGUGAAUUACCAAAAAAAAAAAAUCUAACCAGAUUUUAGAAUUAGUUUUAAAAUUUGUAAUAUUAUAUUUGCCGACUAAAUGCUUAGUUGGUAAAAGAUGCCAACUAUUUAGUUGCUAAUUUUUUUCACAUUUCCCGA